UACGGGAGGCAGCAGUGGGGAAUAUUGCACAAUGGGCGCAAGCCUGAUGCAGCCAUGCCGCGUGUGUGAAGAAGGCCUUCGGGUUGUAAAGCACUUUCAGUCAGGAGGAAAGGUUAACGGUUAAUACCCGUUAGCUGUGACGUUACUGACAGAAGAAGCACCGGCUAACUCCGUGCCAGCAGCCGCGGUAAU
rnacentral:rRNA from 1 species